rnacentral:tRNA from 1 species
AAGCAUGGGUCUUGUAAACCAAAGAUUCAAAACUACAACUUUCCUAGAAUAA